CGCUCCUGAACGCCAUCAGCCCCCGCACCUCCAUCAUUCCUCCUCCCACGAGUCUCCUGCUCCCCGUGACUUUGGCCUUCUCUCGGUGCUGCUGAGGCACAUCAGGAAGUGCUGGAGGACGUGGCACUGCGCCAGCACUGGGCGGCCGGCCGUGUAGCUCAUCCCGCAGAUCGUGCUCUACCUGUGCUUGGAGAUGAAGUCCUCCUGGAAGCAGCUCGUGGCCCACUUCUCAGGCAUCAUCACUUCAUCACUGCCCUGACUGUCCUGGUUGCCACGAAAGAGCUGCUGAGGCCACGGCUGUCGGGC
rnacentral:lncRNA from 1 species